rnacentral:rRNA from 1 species
UCGUACCCAAGGUGGGGGAUAGCCUCUGGAAACGGAGGGUAAUACCCCAUGUGCUCUACGGAGGAAAGGUUUACCGCCUUGGGAGCAGCGAUUCUCCUAUCAGGUAGUUGGUGAGGUAACGGCUCACCAAGCCGAAGACGGGUAGCGGGUGUGAGAGCAUGACCCGCCGCAUCGGGACUGAGACACUGCCCGGACUCCUACGGGAGGCUGCAGUAACGAAUCUUCCGCAAUGGGCGAAAGCCUGACGGAGCAAUGCCGCGUGUGGGAUGAAGCAUCUUCGAUGUGUAAACCACUGUCAGGGUCUAGGAAUACUGACCAGACCCAAAGGAAGGGCCGGCUAAUUCCGUG